rnacentral:rRNA from 1 species
AUUGGGACUGAGAUACGGCCCAGACUCCUACGGGAGGCAGCAGUGGGGAAUAUUGCACAAUGGGCGCAAGCCUGAUGCAGCGACGCCGCGUGCGGGAUGACGGCCUUCGGGUUGUAAACCGCUUUUGACUGGGAGCAAGCCCUUCGGGGUGAGUGUACCUUUCGAAUAAGCACCGGCUAACUACGUGCCAGCAGCCGCGGUAAUACGUAGGGUGCAAGCGUUAUCCGGAAUUAUUGGGCGUAAAGAGCUCGUAGGCGGUUCGUCGCGUCCGGUGUGAAAGUCCAUCGCUUAACGGUGGAUCCGCGCCGGGUACGGGCGGGCUUGAGUGCGGUAGGGGAGACUGGAAUUCCCGGUGUAACGGUGGAAUGUGUAGAUAUCGGGAAGAACACCAAUGGCGAAGGCAGGUCUCUGGGCCGUCACUGACGCUGAGGAGCGAAAGCGUGGGGAGCGAACAGGAUUAGAUACCCUGGUAGUCCACGCCGUAAACGGUGGAUGCUGGAUGUGGGGCCCAUUCCACGGGUUCCGUGUCGGAGCUAACGCGUUAAGCAUCCCGCCUGGGGAGUACGGCCGCAAGGCUAAAACUCAAAGAAAUUGACGGGGGCCCGCACAAGCGGCGGAGCAUGCGGAUUAAUUCGAUGCAACGCGAAGAACCUUACCUGGGCUUGACAUGUUCCCGACAGCCCCAGAGAUGGGGCCUCCCUUCGGGGCGGGUUCACAGGUGGUGCAUGGUCGUCGUCAGCUCGUGUCGUGAGAUGUUGGGUUAAGUCCCGCAACGAGCGCAACCCUCGCCCCGUGUUGCCAGCACAUGAUGGUGGGAACUCACGGGGGACCGCCGGGGUUAACUCGGAGGAAGGUGGGGAUGACGUCAGAUCAUCAUGCCCCUUACGUCCAGGGCUUCACGCAUGCUACAAUGGCCGGUACAACGGGAUGCGACAUGGCGACAUGGAGCGGAUCCCUGAAAACCGGUCUCAGUUCGGAUUGGAGUCUGCAACCCGACUCCAUGAAGGCGGAGUCGCUAGUAAUCGCGGAUCAGCAACGCCGCGGUGAAUGCGUUCCCGGGCCUUGUACACACCGCCCGUCAAGUCAUGAAAGUGGGUAGCACCCGAAGCCGGUGGCCCAACCUUUUGGGGGGAGCCGUCUAAGGUGAGACUCGUGAUUGGGACUAAGUCGUAACAAGGUAGCCGUACCGGAAGGUGCGGCUG